ensembl:lncRNA
CCUGGCUGGACCUUAGAGAUUCUUCUCAAACCAGAACUGCAGGAUAACCAUGCAAGGUAUUAUCUACAUUGGUUGGUUGGAGCGUGGCAUUGACGAGCUCACAGUCAGGGCUUCGGUUCCCUUCCCUCAGUCAAAAUCAGUCAGAGAAACACAGAGAAGGCUGUCCUGCAACCUCUGAUCCUGCUGUAAUUCUGUUACCUGUGCCACAUGGUCAGGUGUUCAUAAGGAUGUUUCUUCCUCCCGUGGAGACUCAGGAGACACCUAUUAGUCAGUCUGGAGCCUCCAGGUAUCUGAGUUGCUGCAGGAGGAGAAACACGAUGUCUCUCCUUUCGUGGAGAUUUGUUGCAUGUUUACCAAGCUCUCUCUCUCAGCAAGGCAGAGAGGAGCAAGCUGAGACCUACAGAUUGCCAGCAGACUUUUCCAACAAAAUUGCCCUGUCUCAAUCAGUUAAACUGGGUGGGAAGGGAGGGCUUCUGCCAGCUUUCUCCCUUCUCUUCCACCCUGUGGAGAGACACCCGAAGCAUUCCAGAGGGCUUGAUAAUCAAGAUGAAAUACUCCAGAUUGCUAAGUCUCCAUAAUACCCAAACCCCAGACCAUAUGUACCGAUAAUUCACGUACUCCCUAACCUUUGCGUUUUGCAUGUAACCUCCCUGUCAAACACUGCCUUUCUGGUGCUUCAUAUAGGAUAAUAAAAAAUUAAGAAAACUGAAGCGAGGCACUCUUUCCAUUUAGUGUGAAAAAAAUAGCAGUGGGC